rnacentral:rRNA from 1 species
GCAUGAAGUCGGAAUUGCUAGUAAUCGUGGAUCAGCAUGCCACGGUGAAUACGUUCCCGGGCCUUGUACACACCGCCCGUCACACCAUGAGAGCCGGGAACACCCGAAGUCCGUAGUCUAACCUAUAUGGAGGACGCGGCCGAAGGUGGGUUUGGUAAUUGGGGUGAAGUCGUAACAAGGUAUC